rnacentral:rRNA from 1 species
GACGUGGGGGGUGCUAUACAUGCAAGUCGAGCGCAUGAAAUUAUUUGAUUCUCUUCGGAGUUGACGAUAAUGGAAUGAGCGGCGGACGGGUGAGUAACACGUAGGCAACCUGCCUGUAAGACUGGGAUAACUCGUGGAAACGCGAGCUAAUACCGGAUAACACUUUUCAUCUCCUGAUGAGAAGUUGAAAGGCGGCUUUUGCUGUCACUUACAGAUGGGCCUGCGGCGCAUUAGCUAGUUGGUAAGGUAACGGCUUACCAAGGCGACGAUGCGUAGCCGACCUGAGAGGGUGAUCGGCCACACUGGGACUGAGACACGGCCCAGACUCCUACGGGAGGCAGCAGUAGGGAAUCUUCCGCAAUGGACGAAAGUCUGACGGAGCAACGCCGCGUGAGUGAUGAAGGUUUUCGGAUCGUAAAACUCUGUUGUUAGGGAAGAACAAGUACUAUAGUAACUGAUAGUACCUUGACGGUACCUAACCAGAAAGCCACGGCUAACUACGUGCCAGCAGCCGCGGUAAUACGUAGGUGGCAAGCGUUGUCCGGAAUUAUUGGGCGUAAAGCGCUCGCAGGCGGUUCUUUAAGUCUGAUGUGAAAUCUUACGGCUCAACCGUAAACGUGCAUUGGAAACUGGGGAACUUGAGUGCAGAAGAGGAGAGUGGAAUUCCACGUGUAGCGGUGAAAUGCGUAGAGAUGUGGAGGAACACCAGUGGGCGAAGGCGACUCUCUGGUCUGUAACUGACGCUGAGGAGCGAAAGCGUGGGGAGCGAACAGGAUUAGAUACCCUGGUAGUCCACGCCG